UAGGGAAUAUUGCUUAAUGGGCGCAAGCCUGAAGCAGCAACGCCGCGUGUGCGAUGAAGGCCUUCGGGUCGUAAAGCACUUUUUGGAGGGAUGAGGAAGGACAGUACCUCCAGAAUAAGCCUCGGCUAACUACGUGCCAGCAGCCGCGGUAACACGUAGGAGGCAAGCGUUAUUCGGAUUUACUGGGCGUAAAGCGCAUGUAGGCGGUCUGGAAAGUUGGAUGUGAAAGCUCCCGGCUUAACUGGGAGAGGUCGUUCAAAACUACCACGCUAGAGGAUGGGAGAGGGAGGUGGAAUUCCGGGUGUAGUGGUGAAAUGCGUAGAUAUCCGGAGGAACACCAGUGGCGAAAGCGGCCUCCUGGCCCAAACCUGACGCUCAGAUGCGAAAGCUAGGGUAGCAAACG
rnacentral:rRNA from 1 species